GGGGAAUAUUGGACAAUGGGCGAAAGCCUGAUCCAGCCAUGCCGCGUGUGUGAAGAAGGUCUUCGGAUUGUAAAGCACUUUAAGUUGGGAGGAAGGGUUUCUGGCUAAUAUCCAGGAAUUUUGACGUUACCGACAGAAUAAGCACCGGCUAACUUCGUGCCAGCAGCCGCGGUAAUACGUAGGGCGCAAGCGUUGUCCGGAAUUAUUGGGCGUAAAGAGCUCGUAGGCGGUUAGUCGCGUCUGCUGUGAAAACUCGAGGCUCAACCUCGGGCUUGCAGUGGGUACGGGCUGACUAGAGUGCGGUAGGGGUGACUGGAAUUCCUGGUGUAGCGGUGGAAUGCGCAGAUAUCAGGAGGAACACCGAUGGCGAAGGCAGGUCACUGGGCCGCAACUGACGCUGAGGAGCGAAAGCAUGGGGAGCGAACA
rnacentral:rRNA from 1 species